GGACGGCAUCGUCGUGGUUUUGAAAGAAUAUCGGAGACGGAUGGGCAUGCGGCGCAUUAGCUAGUUGGCGGGGUAACGGCCCACCAAGGCGACGAUGCGUAGGGGUUCUGAGAGGAAGGUCCCCCACACUGGUACUGAGACACGGACCAGACUCCUACGGGAGGCAGCAGUGAGGAAUAUUGGUCAAUGGGCGAGAGCCUGAACCAGCCAAGUCGCGUGAGGGAGUACUGCCCUAUGGGUUGUAAACCUCUUUUGUCGGGGAGCAAAAGCCGGACGUGUCCGUCUGUGAGAGUACCCGAAGAAAAAGCAUCGGCUAACUCCGUGCCAGCAGCCGCGGUAAUACGGAGGAUGCGAGCGUUAUCCGGGUUUAUUGGGUUUAAAGGGUGCGCAGGCGGAUUUUUAAGUCAGCGGUCAAAUCGUGGGGCUCAACCCCAUCCAGCCGUUGAAACUGGGGAUCUAGAGUGUGCGAGAGGUAUGCGGAAUGCGUGGUGUAGCGGUGAAAUGCAUAGAUAUCACGCAGAACCCCGAUUGCGAAGGCAGCAUACCGGUGCACAACUGACGCUCAGGCACGAAAGCGUGGGUAUCGAACAGGAUUAGAUACCCUGGUAGUCCACGCAGUAAACGAUGAA
rnacentral:rRNA from 1 species